AAAAAAAAAUUAUGUAAACAAUAGGUUAUUUAUAAAGUGGAAUAAAAUUAUGAUAUUGAUUUCUAGUGAUAGACAAGUUUUUUACCUAGCAUUUGAGCUGUUGGAAAAAAAAAUACAGUAACAAUUCAAUUGUGAUUAACUAUUUAACAAUUUUAUAAUUAAUUUAAAUAAUAAAUUUACAGUUAAAUGCCAUGAAUAUUUCAAAAAUUAUUCAAAAAGAAAGAAAAAAUUAGAUCAAUCUGGAAGCGCGCGUAGCACUGCCCUAAGUUGUAUUCCCGUAUUUCAUGCAGGAUUAACUGAAAACACCGCUCUAAGAUACGAUCAGAAUUUCUCUUCCUGCAAGUAUGAAUAUAAAAGAGAUUGACAAAGACUCUUUCAAUAACCGACAAUAAAAAAAUUAAAUAAGGAGAAUAGAAUAAUAAAGACAUGAAAAUAUCUCU
rnacentral:lncRNA from 1 species